rnacentral:rRNA from 1 species
AUUGAACGCUGGCGGCAGGCCUAACACAUGCAAGUCGAGCGGAUGAAGGGAGCUUGCUCCUGGAUUCAGCGGCGGACGGGUGAGUAAUGCCUAGGAAUCUGCCUGGUAGUGGGGGAUAACGUCCGGAAACGGGCGCUAAUACCGCAUACGUCCUGAGGGAGAAAGUGGGGGAUCUUCAGACCUCACGCUAUCAGAUGAGCGUAGGUCGGAUUAGCUAGUUGGUGGGGUAAAGGCCUACCAAGGCGACGAUCCGUAACUGGUCUGAGAGGAUGAUCAGUCACACUGGAACUGAGACACGGUCCAGACUCCUACGGGAGGCAGCAGUGGGGAAUAUUGGACAAUGGGCGAAAGCCUGAUCCAGCCAUGCCGCGUGUGUGAAGAAGGUCUUCGGAUUGUAAAGCACUUUAAGUUGGGAGGAAGGGCAGUAAGUUAAUACCUUGCUGUUUUGACGUUACCAACAGAAUAAGCACCGGCUAACUUCGUG